rnacentral:lncRNA from 1 species
GUUUAGCUCUUUAGAGUGAUAGCAUCUAGCAAUUUUUCGUACUAAUUCUAUUUUACAGUUGCUGUGUUACAGUCGCGGUGAACAAUUAUUAUCGGUGUAUUACUAGCGUAAUUAACGUAAACAGAGCAGGUAAAAUGUUUGUACUGGUAACGUCAAAAUGUUCUUCGACGAUCAUACGUGGAAGGAUUAUAGACUUGGAUGGGAUACUUAAAAUAUAGCACUACGUCUUAUACGAGCAGCAAACGAGUAAUUGAAUCACUCGCAAAUUAGCUGAAAUCCAUAAAUUGAAAAUUCAGUAGAAAUUCAAAACGUCAAUUUAGAAUUCCUUUAGACGAACAACAGAAACUUCCCAAGAAGAAUCGCAAAUUUGCGAUCAAUAGCGUAUAUCUGGCAGAGACAACAACACAUAUUUAAUUCUCUCACCAAAUCUCACUAAGCUGAACUUAGUUUAUCAUUAUGUUGUUCAGAGAGAAAAGUUAGAGAACGAAACACAUGGGUUCGCGUCCGAUUAUCGCAAUUCCAUUCGCCGACGAUCGAAUGGCACGAAUUUUCCCGCAGACAUUGUUGGAAAGCAUGAAAGCACGCGUAAAAGACGAAGACGCCGACGAAUCCGAGAACUUUGCUCCGCGGCAAAUCGACUUGUCACGAAAUCCUAUUGCCGCCUCCUGCAUGUUUCCAGCGUUCUUCUCGUUUUCCACCUUCUCAUCCUCCUCACCUCCCUGUCGUGAAACCCGAUAAAACCUCGUUCGACGGCGUGCUCAAAUUUUCGAGACGCUUAGCUCCAUGAUGCUCGCCCGAAAUCCGAUUUUCCACGACGUAUUCACCUUUGCUUGCGAUGAUUAUUUCUUGCCCCAUGCGUUUCGUUACGCACAUAAAAUUUCCAUUGUAUUCGAUUCAUUCUGGAUAGGUUUGAUAGAAACGUUAAUCCUUUGCAUGUUGACCAUAUUUUUCCUACCCUCUCUCCUACGCUUUUAUAGCGAAACUUUUUAAAAAUGAAGAAUUCGUCUUCGAGGAGGAGAACAUUCUAAGUUCGUGAAUUUAAAUUUGUAAAUUGAAAAACAAUUCUCACGUUAACAAUACGAGUACAAAAUACUAAUGAAAUUAAUAGAAAGGAAUAUAAAGUGCUAAUAGAGAUUAAAAAUAGUAGCAAAAGUUCGUAGUAUACAUGAGAUACAUUGACUUUUUUAUUUCUCAAAGGAAAUUCUAUUCUUCGUGUAAGUGGAAGAUAAAGUUGAGCCAUUUACCUCUUACGUGCUCAAUUCGUAAGUGUCACGCUCAUGUAGCACGGAAAAGAUGAUGAAAAUGGAAUUAGAAGAAUGUUACUUUAUCUAUCCUUUGAUUUUUCUAACAAAGAAUUAUUAUUCACUUUUCAUUUUACUCGAUCAACCGAUUAAUUCAUAGAAGAUAUAGCAAAUUCUUACAAGUCUUACAAGAUUCGAAGAAGAAUAAAGAAUCACAAUGUAAAAUUGUUGAUUUACGUUUAGAUAAAACUGCUGUAGAUUCGCGUAAUCUGAGUUCCAUUUACGAUGUUUUGCGUGCAUGGUUCAGUAAAAAGUAGACAGUGUACAGAUCCAAAUGGGUUUUCAUGAAGUAUCGUGAUGAAAAUUCAUAGGGGCGUGGGUGGGUGGAAUCUGCGUUACGUGUCUGAGACACGAUGCAACGCGUGACGCGCGAAACGACGCUGCAAGCAAAAAGGGUUAAAGAAGGAACGUGACUUUUUUCCUUUGUACACGGUGCACAGGUAUCGCGAAAGAAUGCGCUUUAAAAUUCAAAUUCCCGUGAAGCUGUCGUGAGGCCAAGUCGUCAGACAAACUAAAAGGAACUGUUAUGUUACUGUAACAGUUGCAAAUAAUGAAAAAUAAUGUACAAACUGCGUAGAAUUUCUUAUCAGAUGAUUAACGAUAAAAACCAUCCCACUUACGUUAUCGUUCAAACGUUUGGAAUUAUUUCUAGCGUUCGUGAUUUACGAAGAAUAAUAAAAUAAAAGGACCAACAUAUUAAGAUGGAACAAAGAUACGAAGGAAUAAAAGUGAAUUAAAUUGAAAAAUAAAAAAAAUGUAGAUAUUUUGAUACAUUAUCGAUACUUGUACAAAAAGCCAAUAAAAAAAAAAGUUUCAAUAUUUACACGUAUUCCACAACGUGACUAUUUCGCAUAGAGUGUCGGUCAGAGUACUCCGGCAAAAAAUUAAUGGUUUUUCCAUUAUAUAUUCCUUUCUUUGUUACAGUACUGUUAUCUUCCCUCGUUUUUACACGCCACGUGUAAUUUCGCAGAAUAUAACAACUUCCCGAUAAACAAUCAUUUCCAACGUAAACGAGCAGGAUACUAUCUGUUUAGAUUCGAUCGCUUUAAUUGUAUUUAUAAAAAGUAUAAACUCGCGUAAAUAUUCGCAGUCCACUAAUGCCUUUUUACUUUGAAGCAUAUCAUUCCCUAUUUUUUAUUCCUUCAAUCGUGACAAAAAAAUUUCUGCCAUUUGCUCAGAAUAAAAAAGAAUGACGAUAACGUAAUCAGCGAUGCAGAAGAAAGUAGGUUUGCUAGAGCGACAAUAAUGAAGGCUAGCUUUAAUUGAAUCCUUCUCAGAAUGUCCAUAGGAGACGUUAAACAAACUAUCGGCAUUUCGGCCACGUGAGAGUACGCGUUCGAUGCCGGAUCCAUGAUAAAUCCUCUUCUUUCCUCGCGCAACUCAACCUUCCAUCUUUCACCCUCUCUCUCUCUCUCCUUCU